rnacentral:lncRNA from 1 species
AAAAUCAUUUAUUUCAAAGCCUUCACAUUUAGUGACAUUCAGAAUCUCUUCUCUUGCAGCCAUUUCGUAGAGUGACGUUUUCUGUUGUGAGUCAGCCUCAGGACCCACAUCAGGGGUCAUUGCAGAGUUGCUAUGACAGCGGGCUGGAGGAGUCAGAAACACCAAGCAGUAAGAGUUCAUCAGGGCCAAGACUGGGUGCCCUUCCACUCCCAGAGGACAACUAUGAGAGGACUACGCCGGAUGGCAGUGUUGGUGAGGCAGAGCAUAUGGAAAAUGGCAACUUAAUGAGGAAGAUGUUCCAUAUCCACUACAGUCUUU